ensembl:snoRNA
UAACAAACAAGACCUGUCAAAAUGCAGAACAAAGGAGUUCUCAGGGCUGCCAACCUUCCAGUAGAGGUUGAGUAAUAGUAUAGGUCUCCUACAUUA